rnacentral:rRNA from 1 species
AACGCUGGCGGCAGGCUUAACACAUGCAAGUCGAGCGGUAGCACAGGGGAGCUUGCUCCCUGGGUGACGAGCGGCGGACGGGUGAGUAAUGUCUGGGAAACUGCCUGAUGGAGGGGGAUAACUACUGGAAACGGUAGCUAAUACCGCAUAACGUCGCAAGACCAAAGAGGGGGACCUUCGGGCCUCUUGCCAUCAGAUGUGCCCAGAUGGGAUUAGCUAGUAGGUGGGGUAAUGGCUCACCUAGGCGACGAUCCCUAGCUGGUCUGAGAGGAUGACCAGCCACACUGGAACUGAGACACGGUCCAGACUCCUACGGGAGGCAGCAGUGGGGAAUAUUGCACAAUGGGCGCAAGCCUGAUGCAGCCAUGCCGCGUGUGUGAAGAAGGCCUUCGGGUUGUAAAGCACUUUCAGCGAGGAGGAAGGUGGUGAGCUUAAUACGCUCAUCA